CUCAUGGCCAUUCUCAAGAGAAAGAUCUCAAGACUAAAUUAGAAACCAUUACAAUGAAAAUCACAACGAUAACGAAAAGGGACUGCUUGUUUGUUACUAUGAGCCAAAGAACUUCAGAGCCUCAGAUUUUUCCACGUAAAAGUAACUUGAGGAUCUUUUCUCAUGGCUAGAGUUUGAAUUUUCUCAAGUCUGCCUUUAAAACAACUGCAGUAUGAGCUGCAUCUCUGUUAUUCUUACUGAAGUGAAAUAUUCACACUGCACUGGCUGGAGGCUUUUCUCUGUUGGCUCGGCACUUCUUCCUGCCGCCAUGUGAAGAAAGAUGUGUUUGCUUCCCAUUCUGCCAUGAUGGCAGUAACACCUAAUUCAAGGAAACCCAGAGAAAGGUACAGGAAACAUACUAAGAACACAGGAACCUCUGGAUCCAGGAAAGGUGACUGAGUCCACAAUGCCUCUAACAGACCUGAAGAUAAAUCACAAGACAACAAAACGUCGCUGUCUCUUAUUUGGUGCCCUAUGGCUGAAAAUGUGCAGUGUUUCUGAUGUAUGUCUUUAUGGGGGCCUUUUAGGAUAAAGAGAAUCGUGUAAGUUAGGGCUUGCCUGACAGAGACAUGAUCUAGAAUCAGUAUCCUCGGAUCUUCUCAUCUCUACAGUUAACUCACGCCCAAGUCCCUGGAGGGCACAGACACAGCCCUGAGGAUUUGUCUGCGGGGCUCUCAGCACCCUUGAGGAUUUCCAUUAGUGAGACAAAUCGCGAAUUCACUGCAGCCAAAUGUUGCACAUUUCAUGAUUAAAGACAAGUAUCUCCAGACUGGGCUUCAUUUAUUUCUCCUGCAGUGACAUAUGUGUGGAUUUGUAUUUUUUCAUUACUACACAAAUACAAGCAGUUUAUGAAAUGCUGAAGGAAUUAUCAAAGUUAAAUCUCCC
rnacentral:lncRNA from 10 species